CAUUUAUUAAGUCUCCGUUUGGUUAAUUUAUAGAUGAUUUAUAAACGGUCAAAUUUUAUUUUCAAAUUGCAAAGAAAAGAAAUAAGAGCAAACACGAGAUGUCUAUUGUCUUGCUGAGAAAUGUUUUUAACUAUUCUGUUUACAAGUUGAGGACUACCGGACAUUACCGUUCUACCUGGCUAGUGACAAAUCCAAUCAAUCUUCCUACGAAGUCGAGCUUUAAGGAGUCGGCAGCACUCAUCAACAAACAUUUAAAAUCCGGGGAGCCGGGGAGCCCUCAACUAAAGAUGAACUAUAGCCGAUAGUUGACUUACCUUGAAAGAAUUUUAUUCGCUUUACAUGAGAAGAAAGAAAUUCUUGCAUAGUUAAGUUCAGAAACAUAUGUACCUGCAGUAGACAGUAGUCAUGGUUUUGUAUACUUGUUUAUAGCAGCAAUGAGCCACUGUUCAUAUUCAUAACCAUAGCUAACUCUGGAAGUUUGGUAAACAGCAUUGAGCACUAAGAGAAUGAACAAGAUUAUUAGUUUAUUCUUAUUCUUAA